rnacentral:lncRNA from 1 species
CUAAGACAACACCUGUUUUCUACCAUUGGGUCAAGGUAUGCCAGACUGAACUCUGCCUAGGCAGACAUUGGUGUUUUCUUUUUAAAAGUUUACUUCCAGACUGGCAGUGCAAUUGACACAUGGCCAGAUGUUUUAUCCUGCUGUGUUAAGUCAUCUUGACAUGUUGCCAUGAAAUGGAAACAACUGCUCGUUUUAAUAUUGCUCCAUAUCUUUAUUACAAGGUGGACCUCCCACCAUCAAGUGGAGCAAUCACAUCCUUGAG